CAUUAUAUACCACUAUAAUAUUCAAUGUGAUUCUACAAGUGAGGUUUGGAGAGAAUAAAGUAUAUGCAAAUGUUAAUUUUAUCUUAAGAGGUAGAGAUGCUUUUUUGAUAGACUAUUGGCUUAAAAAGAAGAAGAAGAAAACGAAAUGAAAACAAAAGUGUGAAGAAGUCAUUGCAGAAUACUAUAGAGACAAUGUCAAAGCAUAUUAAAAAACAAAGAUAACUAUAAAAAAGAAAUGAUAAUCGAAGUGCAAUAAAAUAACAGGC
rnacentral:lncRNA from 1 species